UUCCUUGAGGAGUGGCUUCCGGAGCUAACGCGUUAAGUCGACCGCCUGGGGAGUACGGCCGCAAGGUUAAAACUCAAAUGAAUUGACGGGGGCCCGCACAAGCGGUGGAGCAUGUGGUUUAAUUCGAUGCAACGCGAAGAACCUUACCUACUCUUGACAUCCACGGAAUUUGGCAGAGAUGCCUUAGUGCCUUCGGGAACCGUGAGACAGGUGCUGCAUGGCUGUCGUCAGCUCGUGUUGUGAAAUGUUGGGUUAAGUCCCGCAACGAGCGCAACCCUUAUCCUUUGUUGCCAGCGAUUCGGUCGGGAACUCAAAGGAGACUGCCGGUGAUAAACCGGAGGAAGGUGGGGAUGACGUCAAGUCAUCAUGGCCCUUACGAGUAGGGCUACACACGUGCUACAAUGGCGCAUACAAAGAGAAGCGACCUCGCGAGAGCAAGCGGACCUCACAAAGUGCGUCGUAGUCCGGAUCGGAGUCUGCAACUCGACUCCGUGAAGUCGGAAUCGCUAGUAAUCGUGGAUCAGAAUGCCACGGUGAAUACGUUCCCGGGCCUUGUACACACCGCCCGUCACACCAUGGGAGUGGGUUGCAAAAGAAGUA
rnacentral:rRNA from 1 species